UAGGUAGAUUAUUGUAUUCGACUGUAUUCACGGCGUGAAAGAGGGGAUUACACUGUUUUUAAACGAAAAUUGAAUCAAUUAACAUAAUAGACUCCU
rnacentral:pre_miRNA from 1 species